GACGAACGCUGGCGGCGUGCCUAAUACAUGCAAGUAGAACGCUGAAGGAGGAGCUUGCUUCUCUGGAUGAGUUGCGAACGGGUGAGUAACGCGUAGGUAACCUGCCUGGUAGCGGGGGAUAACUAUUGGAAACGAUAGCUAAUACCGCAUAAUAGCAGUUAUUGCAUGAUAACUGUUUGAAAGGUGCAAUUGCAUCACUACCAGAUGGACCUGCGUUGUAUUAGCUAGUUGGUGAGGUAACGGCUCACCAAGGCGACGAUACAUAGCCGACCUGAGAGGGUGAUCGGCCACACUGGGACUGAGACACGGCCCAGACUCCUACGGGAGGCAGCAGUAGGGAAUCUUCGGCAAUGGACGGAAGUCUGACCGAGCAACGCCGCGUGAGUGAAGAAGGUUUUCGGAUCGUAAAGCUCUGUUGUAAGAGAAGAACGAGUGUGAGAGUGGAAAGUUCAC
rnacentral:rRNA from 1 species